AAACUCACUUUGCAGCACAUCUGCUAAAAAUUGGAACAAUACAGGUGAGAUGAGCUUGGUCCCAGAGCAAGGAUGGCAUGUAAACUUUGUGAAGCAUUCCAUAUUUUU
rnacentral:snRNA from 1 species